rnacentral:piRNA from 1 species
AGGAAACUCAAAGUGAUGGGGUGACCGAU